UACGAAGGGGACUAGCGUUGUUCGGAAUUACUGGGCGUAAAGCGCACGUAGGCGGAUUUAUAAGUCAGGGGUGAAAUCCCGGGGCUCAACCUCGGAACUGCCUUUGAUACUGUAGAUCUCGAGUCCGAUAGAGGUGGGUGGAAUUCCUAGUGUAGAGGUGAAAUUCGUAGAUAUUAGGAAGAACACCGGUGGCGAAGGCGGCCCACUGGAUCGGUACUGACGCUCAUGCACGAAAGCGUGGGGAGCAAACAGG
rnacentral:rRNA from 1 species